GCAUCAGCUGUGGGAGGGGUUCUGUUG
rnacentral:piRNA from 1 species